ACUGCUUUUCUUUGAUGUCCCCAUAUUGAGGAGCCCGAUAGCCAUUUGAUUCUUUCAUGCUAUCGGGUUUUUUGUG
rfam:Lucilia cuprina strain LS Scaffold844, whole genome shotgun sequence.